rnacentral:rRNA from 1 species
ACACGGGGGAUGCGAGCGUUAUCCGGAUUUAUUGGGUAUAAAGGGAGCGUAGGUGGGAUAUUAAGUCAGCUGUGAAAGUUUGGGGCUCAACCUUAAAAUUGCAGUUGAUACUGGUUUCCUUGAGUACGGUAUAGGUGGGCGGAAUUCGUGGUGUAGCGGUGAAAUGCUUAGAUAUCACGAAGAACUCCGAUGGCGAAGGCAGCUCACCGGGCCGGAACUGACACUGAUGCUCGAAAGUGCGGGUAUCAAACAGGAUUAGAUACCCUGGUAGUCCGCACAGUAAACGAUGAAUACUCGCUGUUUGCGAUACACUGUAAGCGGCCAAGCGAAAGCGUUAAGUAUUCCACCUGGGGAGUACGCCGGCAACGGUGAAACUCAAAGGAAUUGACGGGG